rnacentral:piRNA from 1 species
UGCAGACACAGUGAACCUGCUGCCU